GAUGAACGCUAACGGCAGGCUUAACGCAUGCAAGUCGAGGGGCAGCACUUCGGGUGGCGACCGGCGCACGGGUGAGUAACGCGUAUGCAACCUACCUUCAACUGGGGGAUAGCCAAGGGAAACUUGGAUUAAUACCCCAUAAGACAUUAGAGCCGCAUGGCUUAGAUGUUAAAGUUCCGGCGGUUGGAGAUGGGCAUGCGUGCCAUUAGGUAGUUGGCGUGGUAACGGCCCACCAAGCCUGCGAUGGCUACGGGGUCUAAAAGGAUGGUCCCGCACACUGGUACUGAGACACGGACCAGACUCCUACGGGAGGCAGCAGAGAGGAAUAUUGGUCAAUGGGGGCAACCCUGAACCAGCCAUGCCGCGUGGAGGAAGACUGCCCUAUGGGUUGUAAACUCCUUUUGUACGGGAAUAAUAGCACCUACGUGUAGGUGUAUGAAGGUACUGUACGAAUAAGCAUCGGCUAACUCCGUGCCAGCAGCCGCGGUAAUAC
rnacentral:rRNA from 1 species